rnacentral:rRNA from 1 species
UAUAAAGGGUUCAAGGAGGAUACCUAGGCACUCAAAAACUAUGAAGGGCGUAAACAACGAUAAGCUUCGAGGAGUUAAUGCUGUGAUUCGAAGAUUCCCGAAUAGGACAACCAAACUAAUUCUUGCAAAAAUUCAUAAGCAAUGAAUAGAUAACCCGGUGAACUGAAACAUCUUAGUAACUGGAGGAAAAGAAAGCAAACGCGAUUCCCUUAGUAGCGGCGAGCGAAGCGGGACCAGCCUAAACCAUAGAGUUUUUAUUUUAUGGGGUUGUGGGAUCUUAAUAUAAAUGAAAGAAUAGACUUUAAAAAGUUGAAACGAUUGAAUGUCGUACCAAAGAAGGUGAAAGUCCUGUAAAUUAUUAAAUUUUUUCUUUAUUUUAUGUAUUAUUAAGAAUUCCCAAGUAAUAUGGGACACGUGAAAUCCUGUAUGAAUCUGCGAGGACCACCUCGUAAGGCUAAAUAUUCUUGAGUGACCGAUAGUGAACAAGUACCGCGAGGGAAAGGUGAAAAGUAGCCCAAGAGGGCAGUGAAAUAGACCAUGAAUCCUUGAACCUACAAACGGUGGGAGGGCAGUAUUAACGCCUGACCGCGUGCCUGUUGAAGAAUGUGCCAGCGACUUGUACACAGUGGCAAGGUUAAGAUUUUAUCGUAGCCUAAGCGAAAGCGAGUCUAAAUAAGGCGUGAUGUCACUGUUUACAGACCCGAACCCGAGUGAUCUAACUAUGAUCAGGAUGAACCUGAGGUAAAACUUAGCGGAGGUCCGAACCCACCAAUGUUGCAUAAUUGGGGGAUGAAUUGUAGUUAGGGGUGAAAUGCCAAUCGAACUCGGAGCUAGCUGGUUCUCUCCGAAAUGUGUUGAGGCACAGCGAUAGAUCUAUGUGUCAUUGAGGGGUAGAGCACUGUUUCGGUGCGGGCUGGGAAACCGGUACCAAAUCGUAGCAAACUCCGAAUACUCAUGUUAUACAGACUAUCAGUCAGACUAUGGGGGAUAAGCUUCAUUGUCAAGAGGGAAACAGCCCAGACCAUCAAUUAAGGCCCUAAAAUGAUUACUGAGUGAUCAAGGAGGUGGAAGUGCUUAGACAGCCAGGAGGUAUGCCCAGAGGCCGCCAACCUUUAAAGAGUGCGUAACAGCUCACUGGUCAAGCGCUUCUGCGCCGACAAUGUAGAGGACUAAGUAAUCUGCCGAAAUUAUGGGUACUAUAAAUACAAAAAGUGCGGUAGGAGAGCGUUCAGUAUUCGGUGAAGUAGUAACGAAAGUAAUUAUGGAGAGUACUGAAGUGAGAAUGUUGGCUUAAGUAGCGAAAACAUUGGUGAGAAUCCAAUGCCCCGAAAAUCUAAGGGUUCCUUUUCAAGGUUCGUCCGAAAAGGGUUAGUCAGAACCUAAGACGAGGCUUAACAGCGUAGUCGAUGGGCAUCAGGUAAAGAUUCCUGAACUAUAUAUUAAACGUUUAAAAGUGACGGGUAUUAACUCCAAGAAAAGCUUUUUACGAUUAUUUAGUAUAUAAUCUGUACCCAAACUGGCACAGGUGGAUGAGUAGAGAAUACUAAGGGGCGCGAGAAAACCCUCUCUAAGGAACUCGGCAAAAUGACUCUGUAACUUCGGAAGAAAGAGUACCUCCUUGUAAUAAGGAGGUCGCAGUGAAGAGACCCAGGCGACUGUUUACCAAAAACACAGGUUUCCGCGAAGUCGAAAGACGAUGUAUGGGAGCUGACGCCUGCCCAGUGCCGGAAGGUUAAAGAAAUCGGUUAGUUUUUAUAAUGAAGCUGAUGACUGAAGCCCCGGUGAACGGCGGCCGUAACUAUAACGGUCCUAAGGUAGCGAAAUUCCUUGUCGGGUAAGUUCCGACCCGCACGAAAGGCGUAACGAU